CGGCAACAGCUCAGAUUUGAAAUCUGGCCUUCGGGUCCGGGUUGUAAUCUGUAGAGGAUGUUUCUGGCGACGUGCCUUCCGAGUUCCCUGGAACGGGACGCCAUAGAGGGUGAGAGCCCCGUACGGUUGGAUGCCUAGCCUCUGUGAAACCCCUUCGAC
rnacentral:rRNA from 1 species